rnacentral:rRNA from 1 species
ACGGCUCAGUAACACGUGGACAACGUGCCCUAAAGUGGAGCAUAAUCUCGGGAAACUGAGGAUAACUCUCCAUAGACCAUGAGAUCUGGAACGACUUAUGGUUCAAAGUUCCGGCGCUUUAGGAUCGGUCUGCGGCCUAUCAGGUAGUAGUGGGUGUAACGUACCCCCUAGCCAAUUACGGGUAUGGGCCUUGAGAGAGGGAGCCCAGAGUUGGAUUCUGAGACACGAAUCCAGGCCCUACGGGGCGCAGCAGUCGCGAAAACUUCACAAUGGGCGAAAGCCCGAUGAGGGAAUUCCUAGUGCUAGCACAUUUGUGUUAGCUUUUCCUUAGCGUAGAUAACUAGGGGAAUAAGGGCUGGGUAAGACGGGUGCCAGCCGCCGCGGUAAUACCCGCAGCCCGAGUGGUGGUCGAUUUUAUUGAGUCUAAAACGUUCGUAGCCGGUCUGAUAAAUCCUUGGGUAAAUCGGGAAGCUUAACUUUCCGAAUUCCGAGGAGACUGUCAGGCUUGGGAUCGGGAGAGGUAUGAGGUACUUCAGGGGUAGGGGUAAAAUCCUGUAAUCCUUGGAGGACCACCGGUGGCGAAGGCGUCAUACUAGAACGAAUCCGACGGUGAGGGACGAAGCCCUAGGUCGCAAACGGGAUUAGAUACCCCGGUAGUCUAGGGUGUAAACGCUGCAGACUUGGUGUUGGGGGCCCUUCGGGGGCAUUCAGUGCCGGAGAGAAGUUGUUAAGUCUGCUACUUGGGGAGUACGUCCGCAAGGAUGAAACUUAAAGGAAUUGGCGGGGGAGCAC